rnacentral:sRNA from 1 species
GGCUGGUCCAAGUGCAGUGGUGCUUACAAUUAAGUGAUCACAGCCAGUUACAGAUUUCUUUAUCAAGGAGGAAAUGGCAACCCACUCCAGUAUUUUUGCCUAGA